rnacentral:tRNA from 1 species
GCGGAUGUGGCGGAACUGGCAGACGCGCUGGAUUUAGGUUCCAGUGGAGUAAUCCGUGCAGGUUCGAUUCCUGUCAUCCGUA